CACUCCACUGGUGUAAAGUGCACCACAUGGCUGCUCUGUUUUAGUGUCUCACUUUGAAGUUGGAUUUUAGAACAUUGUUGGCAAAGCAGAGGUGACAGAGCAGUGAGGUGACAGAGAAGUGAUGUGACAGGGCAGUGAAGUGACAGGACAGUGAAGUGACACAGAAGUGAAGUGACAGGACAGUGAAGUGACAGGACAGUGAAGUGACAGAGCAGUGAAGUGACAGAGCAGUGAAGUGACAGGGCAGUGGAGUGACAGGGCAGUGAGGUGACAGGGCAGUGAAGUGACAGAGCAGUGAAGUGACAGAGCAGUGAAGUGACAGGGCAGUGAGGUGACAGGGCAGUGAGGUGACAGAGCAGUGAAGUGACAGAGCAGUGAAGUGACAGUGUAGUGAAGUGACAGGGCAGUGAAGUGACAGAGCAGUGAAGUUACAGGGCAGCGAGGUGACAGAGCAGUGAAGUGACAGAGCAGUGAAGUGACAGAGCAUUGAAGUGACAGAGCAGUGAUGUGACAGAGCAGUGAAGUGACAGGGCAGUGAGGUGACAGAGCAGUGA